rnacentral:rRNA from 1 species
AGUGAACGCUGGCGGUAGGCCUAACACAUGCAAGUCGAACGGCAGCACAGUAAGAGCUUGGUCUUACGGGUGGCGAGUGGCGGACGGGAGAGGAAUGCAUCCGGCUCUACUUUUUCGGGGGGGAUAACGUAGGGGAGCUUACGCUAAUACCGCAUACGACGUACGGGUGAAAGCAGGGGAUCUUCUGACCUGGCGCGAUUGGAUGAGCCGAUGUCGGAUUAGUUGGUUGGGGGGCUAAAGGCCAACCAAGUCGACGAUCCGUAGCUGGACUGAGAGGAUGAUCAGCCACACUGGAGCGGAGACACCGUCAAGAGUACUGCGGGAGGGAGCAGUCGGGAAUAUUAGACAAAGGGGGGAAGCCUGACACAGCCAUAGCGCGUCGGUGAAAAAGGCGUUGGGGUUGGAAAGACCGUUUGUUGGUAAAGAAACGCAGCAGGUUAAGACGACGCGGUACUGACGGUACCCAAAGAAUAAGCACCGGCUAACUUCGUG